rnacentral:rRNA from 1 species
UACGAAGGGGGCUAGCGUUGUUCGGAUUUACUGGGCGUAAAGGGCGCGUAGGCGGCUCAUGAAGGCUGUGGUGAAAGUCCGGGGCUCAACCUCGGAUCGGCCGUGGCGACUCGUGGGCUGGAGCACUGUAGAGGCGGGUGGAAUUCCGGGUGUAGCGGUGGAAUGCGUAGAGAUCCGGAAGAACACCAGUGGCGAAGGCGGUUCUCUGGGCCUUACCCGACGCUGAGACGCGAAAGCGUGGGGAGCGAACCGG